rnacentral:misc_RNA from 1 species
GUGAAUCAUCAAAUUUUUGAACGCAAAUUGCACUCUCUUCGGAGAGUAUGCCUGUUUGAGGGUCAGCCUAAAAAAAAUCUACAUAGUUGCUGUUUUGCGGUGACAUUCGUCGGAAAUUGGGUCAUCUUAAACCUUUUGGUUUUAAGCGGCUUAAAAUUUUCUUUACGAUUCCACGAACGUUUCUAAGAUUUUACUUCUUACACGUUUAAGGUAUCGAUCUUUAUUAGACGUUGCCGUUGCAUCGGAUCAAGUCCAUAAAUAUUUCGUUAACUGACCUUAGGCCGUUAAGAACAAC